AGUUUCUGUAGAGUAAACUUCACAGACUUAUACACGGUCAGGGACGAGAGUGAGAAUCACCUGCUAACCGUGAUGAUCCAAGGUUACACUUGUGCCUGGAUCGGUCUGUUCAGAGACUCAUGGAAGUGGUCCGAUCAGACCAGCACAAGCUCUUCUCUGCGAUGGGCUGAAAAACAACCGGAUAAUUUGUCUGUCAAUGAAAUCUGCGCUGCUGCAGAUGAGGAUGGUCGGAUUGCUGAUGAGCUCUGCUCAAGAAGGUUUUUCUUCUUUUGCAAAAGUCCAUGUAUUUCAUCGCUUGUCACAGCACCGGUAAAGCGACAGAUAUUGAGACUGGAGGUAAAAGCUGGUGAUAAUGUCAAUGAUCAAGUGACUGCAGACGCUGUGUUGAAGGAGGUCCAGCAGAAACUCAGAGAGCAGGCAAUGGCAGCGGAUGUGAAGUUAUCCUGGCGAAAGCAGCCAAACGGAACACUUUUCCAAACAUUGAAAAAGGAUCAUUAUAGAUUCUCAAACUGCUCAAAAUACUAGUUAGACUAUUUAUUUCUUCUCAAAAUUUUGUGACUAUUUCUCAUUUAGGAUCAUGAAAGUGCAUGUAACGUUUCGACACAUAAAUGUGCUUUGGAAAGGCUAUACAAAUAUUGUUAAGACUUGUCAGGGUCCUAUUGACUCCCCCAUUGACCCCCAUUGGUUCCAUGCAAUUUGUCAAAAAUCAACACUUUAAAAACACUGAAGAAAAAAAACACCUGAUAUGAAAAACAUUAGGACUUAAUAAAUAAAAAGAGGUGUGAGAAAAUCACAUUUUAAAAAAAAAGUGUGUCUGUGCAGC
rnacentral:lncRNA from 1 species